rnacentral:rRNA from 1 species
UGGGGAAUCAUGGUCAAUGGGCGAAAGCCUGAACCUGUGACGCCGCGUGAGUGAUGAAGGUCGUAAGAUCGUAAAACUCUUUUCAGGGAUCUUAAAGCCUGUCUGUCAACAACAGGCAGGUCUGACUCUCCCUGGAAGAAGCCCCAGCCAACUACGUGCCAGCAGCUGCGGUAAUACGUAGGGGGCGAGCGUUAUUCGGAAUUACUGGGUGUAAAGGGUAUGUAGGCGGCCCUUCAAGUCGCGUGUCAAAGUCCAGUGCUCAACGCUGGGUGUGCGCGCGAUACUGACGGGCUUUAGGGCUGGAGAGGUGAGCGGAAUUCCCGGUGUAGUGGUAAAAUACGUAGAGAUCGGGAGGAACACCAGCGGCGUAGGCGGCUCACUAGACAGUUUCUGACGCUAAGAUACGAAAGCGUGGGGAGCAAACA